rnacentral:rRNA from 1 species
CGUGCUUACACAUGCAGUCGAACGAGAACGGUCCUAGCUUGCUAGGAUGUCAGCUAAGUGGCGGACGGGUGAGUAAUGUAUAGUUAAUCUGCCCUUUGGAGAGGGAUAACUACUGGAAACGGUAGCUAAUACCUCAUACUCCUUCUAGUGUAAUGCUAGUUGGGAAAUGUUUUUUCGCCAAAGGAUGAGACUAUAUGGUAUCAGGUAGUUGGUAGGGUAAGAGCCUACCAAGCCAAUGACGCCUAGCUGGUCUGAGAGGAUGAUCAGCCACACUGGAACUGAGACACGGUCCAGACUCCUACGGGAGGCAGCAGUGGGGAAUAUUGCACAAUGGAGGAAACUCUGAUGCAGCAACGCCGCGUGGAGGAUGACACAUUUCGGUGCGUAAACUCCUUUUAUAUGGGAAGAUAAUGACGGUACCAUAUGAAUAAGCACCGGCUAACUCCGUGCCAGCAGCCGCGGUAAUAUGGAGGGUGCAAGCGUUACUCGGAAUCACUGGGCGUAAAGCGCGCGCAGGCGGUCUUUUAAGUUGGAUGUGAAAGCCUA